ensembl:lncRNA
AGCUGGGGAAGUUAAUUGCUUCCUAUACACACCCCUCCAUGCAGAGCAUAAAAGGGGUGUGCUGGGAGGGUUAUGGUUUGGCAGGAGGAAUGAGAUAGGAAGGAAGCUGUGUCCAGUAGUAGAGAUGAAGUCUGAACAUUCUACUUGCUGGUGCUUGCCCAAUAUUUCUUCAUAUUGACUGGAUUGUGUCUCGUAAAUGCUGCUAAUCCAAUGAACACUGGGAUCCCUUGGAGGACAAUGGAGAGGUGGGCAAUACUGGAAGCUCCAGACCUGGCACCAAUGCCUAUAUCUUGAACAAACUACUCUGGCACACCUUUUCCAGCAUGGCUGAAACCUAUUGAAGUAUUCAACACAACCCUUUAGGGAAGGAAAGCAACUCCUGUCCUAAGGUUUAAAUGGCCCUGGAGCAUUCUCCAUCUUCUUCUGGAAAGCAAACCUUUUCCUGGUUUUAUGUCUCACAGCCACAAGAUGAGGUCCAAAAGGAAAAAUGAUAGGAGUACGAUGCUUGAGAUUCACAUUGAGAAUCAGCACUGAUUGCUACAACUAUGCUUCAUCAUUCUUUCAUACACUGAAUACUUGCUGCAGUAUUUAUAAUUUGAGCAUAAGGGUGACUGAAAUGAAGAUGUAAGGUGAAGAAAGAGCUCAAUACCAUCCAGUGGAGGAUUGUCCAGGUACCAGGACACCACUAUUUCAUGCUUAUUCAGAAACAUGUUUCUGAAGAAAAUCUGUUUUAUCUGGAAUUUGUCUGAAUGAUACAAUUGUGAUGUUACCAGCAGCGAUGUCCAUGAUACCAACCCUAACCACUUAGCAAUCAUCAAGUAAGUGUAAUUGCACUAGUUGAUUUAUUUCAUCUACAGAUUAUGUAAUUGCUUAUUAAAAAAAUUGCUAGGAGCAAUCGUCUCCAUCCAUGCUAGUAACCAUGUAUUAUAAUCAUGCCAGUAGGUGAAAAUACAUAGAAUUUCCUUCCUCUUUAAGCUAGAAGACUCUCCACCUAUGUAAAACUUUCUUACUUAGGGGGGAAAACAAAUGACUUCUGAGCUACUUACAGUAAAAUCAACAUACUUGCAAUUCAUUUUCCACUGUACAUUGUGCCUAUGGAUAAAAACAUUCAAAACCAGCUGAAUUUCUCUAAGUGCCCAAUAAGCAUUUAAGUAUUAGACCUAAGGUUAUUUGUUAUUUUAUACUGUAUAAAGGUGGGAUAAAAAAUAAAAACUAGAAUGAAAUACCUAGAGACAUCAGGACCACUAGCUGUGCUGGAUAUAAUUUCCAUUUUCCUUUUCUAACCAUGAAUUCACAUGACUGAAAUGUUUCUUGUAUGUGAUAUAAUAAAGACUACAGUGAAACCUUGUUUCCUCUUAGACGGUAAUGUGUGAUAUCAUGGCAAUGACAAGCAUGAAUGAGAUGCCAACAUUUGGCACUCUUUGGUGAGUAGUGAAAACAUUAUCAGUGAGAGGUGUCCAGCAGCGUUAAAGAGUAGCCGAAUCAGGACAAGUUCAUGUAUGAGUCAACAUCAACUUGAUAGAAUUUCUGCUUUUGGCAGUUAAUGUUGACAAUUAGUACAGUGCCCUUAUUAUAUAUGCGAGGGACUUGAGUUCCUUGAGUGGACAAAGAGUACAAAAACCAAGGAAACAGCUGUUGGGCACAUAAAUGUCUUGUUGGAAGACAUGAAUAUAUUUGGAAAGAUAGGUUUGUGUUGCUGGCCUUAAUCCCUUCCCUUAAGUAUCUUCUUUCUGAUGGUCAGACAUAAUAGUGCAACUGAAUAAAGGGAAGCAUUUUUGACUGGCUAGUGUACAUCAGGUCCCAUAUACAUACUGACUGAAUUCACGUUACUUGUCACUUGAUACAGUUAUGAGAUCUGAAUGAUUUUCAGUCACUUCAGUGAAGGCUGUAUUUGAAACCUGGUCCCAAAGCCGCAAGGCAAGUGUAUUACAUACCUGUCAACUAACAAGACUUGCCAAAAUGAAUCUACUCAUAUGAACACAUGAUCAUUAUUGCUGUUCACACUGUGAAACACUACACACUGUGACAAAAGUAGAAAGCAAGAGGAUUAUUAUGCUAGACAGUCACUUAUUAAAUAUAUUUAUUGUGGAUAAAUGAAUAUUCCUUUACAACAAAAAAUGUAAGCUGUUGAUAAAUUUCUAGUAUUGAAAAAUGUGAUAUGGGCAAUUUAGUAAAACUUGACCUUAUUCUUUUGUAAAGAAUAAGCAAAUAUUUACAUUCCCUUGACUGAACAAAGAUUUUUUGUGCUGAAGACUACUAAAUAUUCCACACAACAAGCACAAGUAGGAGCAAAUGAAUUCAGCAAGCACUGGGACUACUCAGGCCAAAUUUCUUUACCUUUUCAUUGAAUAUUUAAUCAUUAAUUACAUCUGAGUUAUAAACUACUUACUAGUUAAAAAAAAUUGUCACAUCAGGGUAAUGUUUGUACACUGCAUGAAUUUUAUAUGUUUGCAUGAAAAGGAUGGAUUAGUGAAAUGGUGAACAAGACAUUCACUGAAAAAGAGCUCCUUGGGAUGGAAUUCUGAAAUGUACUUUCCUAUAUUCAGUUUACACAGAAGAGAGGAAAAUCUAAAGGUAUACAACAAAAAGAUUUAGAAGUUUGUUCUACUGUCAAGUCUAGAAAAUUGACACUCUUCCAGAUGUCUUCAAAAACAUGUGGACUAAGAGUUGUAUAGUAAGACUAAGGAGUUGUCAAAGAUUCCAGCUAGCCACAUGAGAAUUAAUGUAACAGAAACUGACCAGGUCCUUGAACAAUGUUAGUUAAUCAUAUUUCCAAUAAAUAAAUAAAUAAAUAAAUAAAUAAAUAAAUAAAUAAAUAAAAAUUAUGAGCAGAAAAAUGCAAAAUGCUUUAGAAUGCCUCAAAAAGAAUAUGAAAUGUUGUAUUUGAAGAUCUAUACCGCAAAUUAACACUAUAGUUGAUAAAAUGUUAGUUUAUCUGCAAAGUGCUAAUCUACUUCAUACUAUUUCUUCUUACAGAUUUCAUUAAUUUGAAGAUAUAUUUGCUCCCUCAAAGAUGAAAAUGUUAAUAGAAAUGAGAGUUAAAACUCACUGAGUUCAUUAGGCUCCCCAAUUCUCCUUUGGUUCUGAGUAACAUCUCUUAGAAGCAUUUCUUUUUCUACAAGAAGAAAGUAGAAAUAAAUCUAUUCAUUGCUAUUGAAAAACUGACUACAAAUAGCUGUGAGUAGUUUUGUUUGAGUUGUAUCUGGUAUGAAUGACAACUUCAAAAAGUAAUGUGUAAUGUUGAGCAUCCUCAUGGUUUCUAUGUUAAAGUUUCUAGUGAAUAGUUUAGAAGAUAGAAAUUGUACAGCUUAUAAACUUACUAAGGUUUUGUGCAAAAAAUCGGAGUGGUGUUUGAAUAAUUAGUUAAGGAUGUAAUGCAAGAUAAAUAAUAAACAAAAAUUUUGAUAAAAUCAAGUUUUUUUAAUCACUUUCACAGAACAAGAGAAAAUAUCACCUUUUUUUUUUUUUUUUUUUCUAAUUUGAGUCUCCUAUCUUAAAGGAAAGUUAUUAUUUUCAUGAUCAUGGCUCAGCCACAGCUAUCUUAAACACUAAUGCUUUUCUCCAGUGUUUCAUGGAUUAUGAGUCCUUGGUACAAAAACUAGACUGAACUGGCUACUAAUUAUCUCCUCCUUGUUCUGCUGGGUCUUUCUAUAGCUCUUGUCACUACAAGACCCAGAUGACUUCUGAAAAUUUUCAUUGACUAUAGAACUUCCUCUAAUUAAAAAAUAAAUAAAUAGAAAAAAACAAAGCAGAUUAAUUUCCAAGUAAUCCUUCUCUGUGAAAUCUUUUCAGUUCCAUCAGUUCUUUUGUCUAGCUUACAUGUUAAGUUAAGCAUAGGUAUUGAUAGUCACAUCAAACGGCGCUGUCAAGGUUAAAUAAGUAAUGGUCCUUCAUUUUAUUUUGUACAAGACCUGGAUUUUAUUCUCAUGCCUUUCCAUACAGUCAAAUUAUAUGGGUAUUUUGAUAGACAUGAUUAUUGAAGGAGAUCAUUAAAGAAGUUUUGAUCGAAGGCACUCUGGAUUGUAGUGACCAUACCCUAAAUGAGUUCACAAUCUUAGGGAAUAUGGCCCUGGCAAAAAGCAGAGUCAGAAUGUAGAACUUCAGGAGAGUGAACUCCUGGCUUUUUAAGGAAUUAUUAAAUUGGAUCCCCUGGAAGACUGUCCUUAAAGACAUAGUAAUGGAAUAGAGGUGGCAUCUCUUUGAAGACAUCUUUCUGAGAGGACAAAAGCUCUGCACUCCCGAGCGUAAGAAAUCAAGCAGAGAAGGCUGGAAACUGGUAUAACUAAGCAAGAAUCUGCUGGACAAACUGAAGGAAAUAAAGGAAAAGAACAGGCAGUGGAAGCAGGGACACACGGCGUAGGAAGAAAACAGGGAUGACAUCUGAACAUGCAGAGUUUCAACCAUCAGGAAAGCCAAAGUGAGUUCUUUGCCUCAGUCUUCCCAGUCAGUCAGGCUUCCCAUGCCUCUUACAUUCCUGAAUCUCUAGGCAGGGGUUGGGGUAGCAAUAUCCAAGCAAUAGGAAGUCCAAGAUUACCUCAUAAGACUGAAUGUGUGUAAGUCUAUGGGACUGAAUGGCAUGUACCCCAGGGACCUGAUGGAACUGGAUGAUAUGGUUGCCAAGGCACUCUCCAUCAUAUUUGAAAAGUCAUGGCUGUAAGGCAAAGUACUUAGUGACUGAAAAAAAAAAAGGAAGCAUCACUCCCAUUUUCACAAAAGGGAGAAAGGAAGACCUGGGGAACUACAAGCUAGUGAGCCUAAUCUCUGUUCCAGGGAAGAUCAUGAGGAGAAGAUUUUAGAAGCUAUGUCACAGGCACAUGUGAGUUGAGGAGGUGAUCUGAGACAGCCAGCACAGCUUCACCAUGGGCAGAUGGUGCCAGACAAAUCUGGUGGCCUUACAUGAUGGAGUGACAGCAUUGGUGAGAAAAAGAAGUGCAACUGAUGUCUGCUACAUGGACUUGUGUAAAGCCUUUGGUAUGGUUCCACAUCACAUUCUUAUCUCAUAAUUAUAUAGAUUUGACGGGUGUACUCUGGUGAAUUAAGAAUUCUUUGGAUGGUCACAUGCAGAGGGUUGUUGUUAAUGUUGCUGUGUUCAGGUGGCAGGUCAUGGGUGGAGCUGCUCAGUGGUCUAUCUUGUGUGACAGAACAAGGGGAAAUGGCUUCAGAUUUAAAGAGGGGAGAUUUAGGUUAGAUGUUAAGCAGAAAUUCUUUACUCAGAGGGUGGUGAGGCACUAGACACAACCAAAGAGGUUGUGGAUGCUCCAUCCCUGGAGACAUUCAAGGCCAGAUUGGAUGGGAUCCUGAGCAGCUGAUCUGGUGGGUGGCAGCCCUGAUCAUGGCAGGGGUUGCAACUACAUGAUGUUUAACAUCCCUUCCAAUCUUAGCCAUUAUGUGAUUAAUUCUAUAAUUAUUAUUCCACUAGAGAACAUGGAAUGGGAGACAAUAAGUAACUGGAUUAGUAAGGUGAUUUGCUAUAAAAUGCACACUUACUGAUCUGCAGUCUUACAUCCUCACAUCCAUUUGUUUUAAGUCCUGUAGUGACAGUAAUGAAAUAUAAACUGGGACCUCCUCACAUCAUUCUACAGCUAGAAGAAUAUAAAGCAGACAAUAACACAAAAGUCAAGCCCAUACAUGCAAAAUAUGCCUGCAAAUUUAGGACCUUCCAGUUCAGCAUAUAUAAAUUAGUCAUCUUCUGUUUUAGAUACAGAAAGGCUUUUCCCUCACAAGGCUAUAUCAUACUGUUAUGCUUGGCACAAAACACUGCCAGGAUAACUUUGGGAAGAUAUUUGAUUUUAAAAGUUUUUGUUACGAAUCAGACAAGUAAGCAAGAAAUCACAAAAUCACAUAUCACUCCUGAUUCUAAAUAAUUCAGUGUUUGGUACAAGGUAUUCUAAUAUCUUUAAAGAGUCGACUAAGUAUCAUUAUACUGUUGUGCAUUGCCUUGAAAAACAGAGAAGCAACUCAAAAUUGCAAAAAAAUAUAUGAGCAAAGUACAGAUGAAAAUGAGUCUCCCCAAAUUUUAAGAUAUUGAUUUAUUAUAUCAAAGUAGAUGAUUAAUUACUGCUGUCACAAGAGCUUUGUGCACAGAUACAAACUUAUGUAUGUAUGGAAAAAUCCCAUUUUAUCUUCCAGAGGAGAAAUAUCAGUUUUGUGACUGAGGAUAGCAAGAUUGGAUAAGAAUCAGUUUACAAUUAACUACUAUUUACCAUUUAUAUACUUUUUUCCUUCAUAUCUUUAUAAAUAUUUCAGAGACUUAUUUUUGUCCCUUCGCAUUUUCACCUUUGAAGAACUAUAUUUAGGUUCAGUGAAUAUCUGUAGUAAAAUCAGAUUUAGACCUAGUAUAAAUAAACAUCUGAAAUCUUCAAAACCUUCUACAUAUUGUGCUACACAUGUCUGUGAAGGGGGAGAGAGAAAUUAUGCAACUAAUAAAUGAUUUAAGAAUGUGAAAUGAUUUUGAAUUGGUCUGGUCAACAAGGAAAGCAGGCAUUUUUCUAAGGUAUCUAUCAUAUAAGUAUUGUAGAUUUUUUCCUACUUCUAUUGGCAGCUUCUCUUAGCCUGCUAUCAAUAUAUUCCUUUUGUUUGUGACACAAAAGGCUUCCCACUAUAAUUUAGCAGGUUUUAUUUUCAAAGAAAAAUCUUGCAUUCUUUCUCUCUCCGUGUAUGCAUAACCUUUAUGAGGAAAGCUUUUACUUAGUGGGUGUUUUUUUGUUGUUUUGUUGUUGCUGUUUUUUUUUUUUUUUUUAAUUUCACAUUUACUAAUAAUAUGCUUUUCAGAAAAAGUAGGUGCUUUUACAGCAUCAUACAAGUGCUAUGUUUUGAAGGAGCAAUAUAGCAGUAUGUAUCUUUUUGCCCUUUGAUGUAAAUUCGUGAGGAAGAUAGAUUAUAGCAUCAAGAUGUUUCUCUGUGAGUAAUAAACUACCGAGCACAAAGUUCAUGGCUGAGAAUUGUGUGGGAUACAAGUGACUACCUUCACUACAAUCAAUUAUUAGGAUGAUUAUAUUGUGUCUGGAGAAUAUGAUGCUAAUGACUAGCUAACGCUUAGAAUACACACUCUUGACUUGAAAACCAAUGACAGUUAAAUGCAGCAAAGGGAAAGGCCUAUAUGUUGAGCUAGCAGCUCUCUAGUGUUGAUAAUGAAUAAUUAAAAAUAACAGUCUUUAUGUGUGGCUUGACAGUAUACAUGUCCUUUUAGUAUAUUCCGCUUUGUAAAGAACUUGGCACAAUGACAGCCAAAGAAAGGCAUCUUACCGCAUCCUGUACAGAAACUGUAUAGGAAAGCAGGGAGUUAAACACCCUCACUGCUGGGAGGGCCUAAGCAGGAUUAGCUAUGUAUUUACUGCUAACCUUCUACUACUCUGUCUUCUAAACAAAUAAAUAAUUGAAACCCAUUAUGUCUUUUAGGGGAGUUGCUCACAUGCUUUCUAUAUUCACAUCAAAGCAGAGAUCAGUGUCAAAGAGGCAGCCACAUUUAGCUGAGUCUCUCGGAGACUACUGAUUAAUUAGUUUUGCAUUUUGGAAGUGCAUCCAAAGAUGUAAAAUAGCGUUUGUUUUUACUAUUGCCAAAACUUGUUUAGGAGCUCUCUGGAGGGUGACGGUGAUGUACUCAAGAUGGUUGUGAAAGAAAAGGGCAUACAGUUCAGGUGCCAGAAAUCUCCAACCCCUUCCCUCCCCCCCCCCUCCCCCCCCCCCCCAUUUCCCCCUUAAGUUUCUGCAUGAGUGUCCAGAGGGAGUGCCUAAAUGAAAGGCGUGCUGGUAUCGAUGGAAGGCAAGAAUUGGGUGAUAAUAGAGAUAUCAACAUUUCCCUUAAUCAAGACAGUAUAAAAUGAAAGUUAUAAAAGGACGGAUAAUUCAGUUCUUAAAAACCAAAUUAAAAUAUUGUCUUAGAUAAGGGACAUGUAAGAUCUGUAAAUCCUGUUUAAAGUGUUGUCGUUUUAAAGUUUUCAUGUCUUGGUUAUUGCAUAACUUUUUUCUUAUAUACUGAAAUGUGGUAAUAUGAGGUAUGGGGGGUACUCAGUUAUGGCAAAUAUUGCCUACAAAAGUGUGUUCAUGUUAUUUGCCUUUCUGUCUCUGUCUAUAUCAACUCCACAUGCUGCUCUGGUGGCCUGCUUUGUACUUAAUAUAACUUGUCAAAACACAUCUAUCAGAUAUAUGAAAAGGCAAACCUGGGUGGCCAGACUAGUCCAAGCCUGGCGUGGAUUGCAUUUUACCAAGACCACAGAAAUCUCUUUUCCUCAAUGCGAUUAAGAUGAAAAGCAGAGUUCAUUGUUGUGCAACCAGAUUUUAAAAUAAUUACAUACAUGCUAGUGCAUUAGUAGGCCAUUUGUGUUUAUUUGAAUCCUACAUAUUGUACUUUUAUGUGGAUCUUAAGUGAUUUUUAAAGCUGUCAGUAAAAAAAAAAAAAAAAAAAAAAGUGAUGUUAUCACUUGUUUUAGGUAGCUUUGUUUUGUUUUUUUUUAAUCCCUUCCUGUUUGCUUCUGUAUACUGAGCUGCUACAAUCCCAGUACCUUAUCUCUUUCCAAGAAAGGUGAGUAUGUAUUACCCUUUGGCUAUUGACUGACAGACUUCUGGCUGUUCUUUGAACCACAGCUAAUGCCACCACAAUAUCUUACAUAUAUGACAUGCUCAGUGUUCACCCUCUGAUUGCCUGAGAACACAUGUUAUAUGAUACAGGCAGGAACGCUGCACAUGGAAUGAAACUCACAGGUUUAUUCUUCUGCUUUCAAUACCUUCUCAUCCUGAAUGUAUAUUGCAGAAUGUAAAUAUGCUUGGUUCAGCAUAUUCACCGAUUUUACAAGUUUUUCCUUCAAAUUUCAAAGUUGAAGUCCUUUUAGGGAAAUCAAGAGUUGCAACAGCAUUAAAACCCUGCACCCCAUACAGCUCAAUUUACAGCAUAUUUAUGCUUACCUUUCCAAUGCACAGGUGGAACAAACUAUUUUAAACAUGACUUUCUGAAGAAAUUUUUGCUUGGAUUUCUCAAAGGAGUCCAAAAUCAUAUUGAAUUUAUGAGCUGAAAAUCACUUCCUCUCCAACCAACAUGGGACACAAUCAUUCUAUAAAAUUGUUGCAGCCUGGGAUCUCCUUGGAAGUGCAAAAUGUGCAAGAGAAUGACCAUGAAAAUAUAUUAACAUUUUUAUCCUGUUUGAGCUGCUAUUACACUUGCAUUCAAAGAAAUGCCUGAAGCACAACUAUUCCGGCACAGCUAGAAUCCUUACAGUCUUAGCUUUCCACAGUCUCAGACUGCAGAGUGAAAAGCAUUGAAAAACACAAGUUUCAUUAAGAAAGAUAACCCUUACCUUCCAGGAGGAUGUAAACUGAGUUUCUACCCGCUGGAGGGACAGGGGCCUGCAGGAGCACAGUGAUACCCAUCAGUGCUUCAGAAUAGUUCCACAUUCUCCUGGCUCACUGGGUGGCUUGGCUUCAAGUGUUGGUUGUAAAGUUAAGGAUUAUCAUUGAGGGCUCUGUAUUUGUGUAAGCGAGGAGAAGAGAGGAAACUGGAGGCAUCCUGCCAAUAUUCUCAAUGCCUGUAUGCUAACUCCACUGGAGGAGAGCAGUGUGAAUGAACUGCUUAGGAGUGGGUUGCAGGAUAUCAUUGUAGUGACACCACAGGCAGAAAAAUUGACACUCAGAGGUAACUUCUUUAAGCUUGGUGGAGACAUAAUAAAGUGGAGUUUUGCUGGCUGUACUGGCACUGAGAGAGUCAGCAGCAAUCAUCUUUCUUCUAAUAACCAAAUGUGCUGAACACAAGCUGGUUAUUGCAAACACAAUUAUUCAGUAAUUGGAUAAGCCUAAAAUAUCUUGGAUACAUCCUUGAUCCAAGAGCUGGCAGCUCACUGAUUAUAUCAUUGUUUGGCAAAGAGGCCUGCAGGCUGCAGGACUCAUAAGAUCCAUACCCAGAGCAGACUGCUGGACCCACUAUCAUGGAAUAGGUUCCAAGUUACUGAUUCAACUACAUUGUUGGAGAACUGGCACAAAUCCUGCUAGGCAUAGACACAAAAUGCUUUAAAGAUCUAAAUAUUAAAGAUCUAAACACUAAACAAGAGCUGUGUAACAGCAUUCUUUCAAGGCUUGCCCGCCCAGGAACAUGAAACAUGCACAAGGUGGUGAAGGAAAAGAGUGGUAGGACUAUAUGGCAUACUGAGGUACUGCUGAUAGAAUUGGUUUUGUCAGAAGUCAACAUCAGAAACAGUUUGAUAUCUCAAUCAAAAAUUUUACUGAGGAAAAUGAAACCAAAUCAAACCAAAAUAACAAAAACAAAAACAAAAAUGACAGAAAAAAACAGACUUAGCUUAUUUUCUGCUUUCUCAUUCUAGAACAAAGAAAAUAUAUUAGAAAAGCAUUAGUCCUAAAGAACAGACAAAAACUGAAGCAGUCAUAAGCUCAGCAAUAGAGUUAGGAAGCUCAUGAAAUUCAGUCUUUUUCAGACCAAUGUAAUAGAAUAAGGAAAAGUGCAGCUAAAGAUGAACAAUGUUUACAUAAUUUGACGAGGCUGGACUAGGAAGCUAUUACUACAGCUAAAUGAGAAGCUAGGCAGAUGAAAACAGAUUUAGAUAAAAUAAACAUAUAUGGGCUAUAAACAUAUAGGGCUACUCUAAGAGUAAUGCCUCCUAUUUUAUCAUGUUGACCUACAAUAUCAGAUGUGAUUGUUGGUGGUUUGACAGUAGAGAUUGAAUCUUCCUGACUAUAUUCCCCUACAUUUUGUUGCUGUGCAACAGAUGGCAGCAGAGGGGCAGUCUGACAAAAUGGCGUCUGACGUGGGGGUGUGUAUGGAUUGAAGGUGUGUCACUGAAUUCCUCUAUGAGAAAAUAAUGACCCAUGGACAUUCACUGAUGCUUGCUGAACAUUUAUGGAGACCAAAGAUUGGACGUGAGCACUGUGAGAUGGUGGAUGGUGCAUUUCAGCAGUGUCAACAUCAACAGUGGGUGGGUGCAGAUUUCUGCUAGCGUGGCAUACAGGCUCUUGUUCAUUGCUGGUGGAAAUGCAUAUCUAAUGGUUGUGACCAUGCUGAAAAGUAGUGUUUUGUAGCUGAGCAUUUGCUCUGUCAAACAGUGUUAUUGUGCUUUUUGUAUCCGUUGCAGUUUCUAUGAAAAGAAAUAGGAGGCAUUACUGUUGGAGUGACAUACAUAUGUAAGCAUCUCUGAAAUACUUAUUUUCCAUUUAUAAGUGAGGGAAGAUAUCUUGAGUUCAAUAAAUAUUGAAGGCAUCUUGUGAUAGACAUAUAUUUCAAUACCUAGGGCAGUUGACAAGUUUUUAAGCCCCACCUGUUUUAGACCUCCAAAAGAUUCAACAAAUGGUCUCAAUUUGGAUAAAAAUUCAAAUGUCCUAGCAAAGUUUAUCUAAUGUAGACAGUACUACUCAAGUGUGUAUGUUCAUAUCUCAAUUAUUCUGUGUGAACACAGGAAAUGGGUCCCCUUGCCAGGCAAGGUAUAGUGUAAGGUUGACAGAAUCAGGAUUUUAGCACGACUGAAAGCUGAUAGUAAAACAGCUUUAUCUGACUUUUUAUCUGUAGUCAUCCAGGGCUAUCAUGCAGUAGCUUCAGAAAAGGUUUCUAAGCUUUAAUCAUUGUCUUCCAGGCUGUAGUCUCUGUCUUAUUUGAAAUAGCUAUCUUCCCCUGAGUGACUUGUCUGGUUGCAUUUGUGGUACCUGACCUACUUUGCAGCACUUCCCUCGGUACCACCUCAUAAUCUGAUGGCCCAAGAAAACACUGUGAAUUGAAACUCACUCCCAAUAAAGGACAAUAAUUAAAUAAAAAUAAAAACACAUUUGACAGCCCACAACAAAGGCAAAUCUCAACAGCUUUUGCAUGUGUCUGCCUGCUGAAUCAAGCAGUAGUUCCUGUCCCCACAGUGCUGCAGGAUGAUGGAUCACCAAAAUGACAAAAAAUCAGAGUAAUAUUUUGCAGUGUAUUCUUUCUCCUCUCUGGAAUCUUGGAGAACAUCAGACACAUUAAUUAAUCAUCUCUAUUUUCCUGAGGUUUACUGUUAGACCCGUUUAACAGGUGGGUAAACCACUGCACAAAAGUGUUGUGACUUGCCUUCUCUGAACUCUACACCUACAUUGGGUCAUGAUGCUCCAGCACUCCAGGCUUUAUUUAGAACAACUCUGUCAUUUCUUUAAUGGUAGGCAAUUUCCCUUCCUUUAGGAUGGAUCUUACAUCCUCACGAUUUGCAAUUUAAAUAUCAUGGGAGAUGAAUGAGUCAAUGGUAAAAUUCCCAUUGAGUUUAAGGAGUGUAAGGACAUGAGAUUUAUUUCUGAAGAGCUUGUGUGCUUGAAAGCAUUUGUUUUUCAUCUCCCCUCUGGCCCACAGUGUUAUUAACCAGUUAAAUAACAGGUGUUGCCUCUCCUAGCAGAUUUGUCCCCUGAUUUGAGCUUUGUGCAACCAGAUUGUCACUCACUUAGCAGAAGACCACAUCAAAUGUGGAAAGGAAAGGUUACUGCCAUUUUAUACAGUACAGUGAAAUAAUUUCCAGUUUCAAUUUUCAAUACUGUUUUGGUCACUUAAACUUUGUUAAUCAAUGAGUUUGUAUUGCAGUAUGAAAGAACAUUCCUGUGGAGGUAAGAUUUCUAAACUUGCACCUGUACCUGAUAGGAUAACAACUAUGGCACCAAAUUACGCCAGCUGAUUGCAAGCCUGUGUCAUGUACCAGUAGAAAUUACCUUAAGCUUUUUCAGCUUUAUAGAUUUUCCUAUAGUGAGGCCAUUCUAUUAAUCAGGGGAUAACACAGUAGUUUCUGCCCAUAGUGUGUGAGCUGCAAUCAAUGGCAUACAAGAUUUCAAAAGCCAUAUUCCAGCAGCUUUCUCACCAGUCACAAGUGUAUGGAGAAAAGUCAUGUGUCCUUAAUCAAACAAAUUAGUAAUGUAGAGUUUAUUUCCACUUGGCGCCAAAAUAGUGAGGACAUUGGCACUUCUCUUCUCCUUCUGUUGUCUCUUUGGCUUAUUUUCUUGUGCCCAGUGUUAGAUGACGGUAGACGCCAGUUUCAGCUCACAGUCUCCUGGACAGUGCCUAGGACAGCUUUCACAAAGAAGAAGGGGGAAGGGGAGAAGCUCACAUGCUGCUGUGUUACCCUUCUUCAUCCCUAUGGGAUUGCCUCUUGUUCUACUGCAGACCUGAGAGGCUGCCUUUUCACUCAGUUGAUUUAAUUUAAUUAGCCUCUGUGAAGCAGAGAUUUAAAGUUGCUAAACCAAAGCUUACAAGAAUCCAGUUGACAAAAUGCAAGGGACAAAAUCAAAAGCUAAUUUUUUGCAAAGUUCACUGUGGACCAGCGUGAAAUACAUGGUAAAGAUCAAAAAGUCUUAGAUAUUUGUCAAGAAUAUGAGGCUUCAAAGACAGGGUAAUUUAGCUUAAUUCUGAAGAGCAUUAGCAGACCCGCAAUAAAGAAUUAAAUCUUGUCUCUUGUGCUUCAGUUAGAUUUUCAGAUAUGCAGUUCUGUAAUUCAGCAAAAUACCACACAGUAUGUGCAAAAUAAUAAUAAAAAUAUUCCUUGACCCAUUUUCUUAAGCUUUAUUCCCAAUUAUCUUUGUUGCUUCUGAAAAGGUUAUUUUUUAUUUCAGGUAUUGAAAUAUCUACAGCUGUUAUACUUCAAAAGUUCCUCCUAUUUUAAAAUAAAUUACAUUUUCUGUUUUUUUUUUUCCCAUUUAAAUCUAUCAAUUUUUUAUUGUAUCCAGUGUGUUCUUCUCUCUCUGAUAUUAGCUCUUUUAAUUUACUUCAGUUGACUCAUUUAUUUUCUUGCUAUCUUCUGAGGUUUGUAACAGUACUAACUGGUCAAUCAAAACACAGCAGGAGCUAAACUCUUCACCUUCACAACUGACAUUCUUUCCUCUUUAGAAGAAGCCAAAUCCUGGCUUCUUCUUUUACCUCUGUCUUCGUGAGGUUUUGGAAACAGUGUCUAUAAUCCUAGAUUCCACACAGCCCCAAUAAUUCCUUAUUUGUAUAACCUCACCAAGGUCAAAGGAUUAAGUGGAUCUCUCUCUCUCACAAGAAUACUUUGUGGAUCCAACUGAGCUGUGUUGAACUGAAAAGUCAUGCUCUAGAAAAUGUGUUUCUUACUAUACAGUCCUUUUCGUGUUACAUUUUACUCUGAGAAGUAAUAAAUGAAGAGCCAGUGACUGUUCAGUAAGUCAAAAAGGAAGAUAAAUAAAACAAUAAUUUAUCAAAUAUUAACUUAUAUUUUUUCUUAUUUUAAGCAUGCUUUUCUGAAAUUCUGGAAGCUGAAUGCUCUGUUUUGUCUACUCUAAUUGAUUUCAUUUUUAUCUCAUACUUUUCAUUGUGGAGUCUAUCAUGCUUCAUCUAAUUCUGAAUGUGGAAAUGAUUGUGAAAUUAACACGUUAGACCAGUACAGCAAACUUGUCUCUCUCUCACAAGUUGCUGCACUCAGUCACUCAGUGCCUUUCUCUCAGUUGAAUUAUGCAGUGGUCAACUCUCUUCCAUACAAUGGGUUUUGCAAGACUGCUGAAUGGAUGUUUUUGGCAUGGUCUCAUUUAGCAGAUAUUCCCAUGUGGUUUCCAUGCAUCCCCAUACUAAUGCUGUUCUCUGUGUAAACACAUGGAUUGCAUUACUCGAUGCCCUUUUGAUCUAAACAUAAAAUAUUUUUUUUUUUAAAUAUCCCAAACUAAUAAGAAGUCGGAUUUCAUUUCAAGCUACUGGGCAACAGCACAGUUUCCCCUCUUAUGGAUCUUUCACCUGUGGCUACAAUCCUAGAUGCAUUCUGAAUCACUCUUUUCUCUUCUGCUGGCACUGGCUCUUCCCUUGAAUUUAUGUGUGUGUCUGUGUGAUUUUUCCCUUACUCUUAUUUUCUGGCUUCAUAACCUCCCAUGAGUCUUCAACCACUGCUAAAAAAUGCCUGCUUGCUUCUGCUGGGUGGGAAAACAUUAAAACACUGGGAAGGAUGGUCAUUCUCUCUUUGCCAGCCUGUUUUUUUGAGGCAGAUUCCCCACUGGUGUAAAUAGCUGAGCUUCUAUGAAUUCAUGUUACUUACACUGAGGAUCUGGGCCUUUGAUUUACUUUUCCCAGCUGUAGCCAUACUGGCUUGUUCAUUUACUUUUAUAACUGUGCCAUUCAAUUCCAUCUGAGCACUACUAUGGUGCUGUGAUUUAGCUUAGACCCUACUUAACACAAAAUUUAUUAUCUUGAUAGAUAAAUGAUUACUGUAUACUAUUUCUCCUAAUAACUUGCAUACUUCUGAUAACAUAAUGUGUUGAGCACAUUGGAUGCAGAAUGGUCCCAGGUGCUUUAUAACAUAGUAUAUGAGCUAUAUAGGAAGAUAACUUUGCUCCCUACUGAAAUGCAGCCAUCUCUGCUGUGAAGCACACAUAACCACACUGCAGAAAAUGUUGGGAUGCAAAGUCGUGUCCAAUUGAAACUGCAAGGGGAAUUUUGUGUAAGUAGAAUAUAAUUACCCAAGCUGGAUGUCAGCCAGGAUUCAGGGAACACCCUGGAUUUUGGAGGAACUGCCAAUGGGAGAUGGAGAUGUUACUACAGGCAUACAUGUUCUCAUUUCUUGAUUAAUUCCAAGAGGAUAAGUUGUUGUCUUUUAAUUUCCUCUUUACUGCUUAUCUUUUUUUUUUAUCAGCUGCUCUUUCUGUAGCCUUAUUAUGCGUCAUGUUCUGAUUUCUCUCUUCUUACAUUUCCUCUCUUACAUUUCACACAUCCCAGUGUUCCCCCCCUCCCCAAACAUUCUUUCAUCCAAAGUCCUAGCAAAAAAGACAAAAUUAUCUGUUUACAUCAUGUUGCUGAAUAAAAUGUUUGCUAUAUGAGGGUAAUAGAUUUCUCCAUAUAAGUACAUACAGAAUUUGCAGAAUCAAAAAUAGUAAAGUAUGUUUGUUAGUUUGUUUUUCCCCUUGAUACUUAAUUUUCUCCCCUCCUUGCCAAGAUCAUGCAAUUGAAGAAUGGUGAAAUACUCUAAAUGUUGUGUCCAUACCAAGACCUCCCCACACACAACCCUCUCCCAAACUGCUUGAGGCUUACACUCAAAUCAUUGUCAGAAACUUUCAACUAGGAAAGGGCUUGAUGCUGGAAAGCCAUGUGAUACUGAGGUGAAUAUAGGAAGUCAGAAAAAUAAACUCUAUAAUUCUUCAUUUCGCAGUAUAAAGCAGAUCUCCACUGGCUCCUGAGCCAUAGCGCCAGGGUGCCUUGGCAGCACACUCUGGCACAGCUAACCUUGGGCAAGGCUUUCACUCCAAAACAUGUCACUGAGUGUCAUGGGCUGUAUUUCAGUGUCUGCUCUACCAGUGAUCAACUGUCCAACACUUUGUUAGAGGCUUAGACCAACUUGAGAGAUUUGGAACAAUCUUUGGAUUCCAUGGGCAAGGACUCACUGUUCAGAGUGGCUGGGAUUACUGUUUGUAUGUUUGUGGAAAAAGAGGUCUCCUUCAUCUGCAGGCAUCAAAAUCUUGGUAAAAAUGAGAAUCUGCUCCCUUAUCUUUCACAGUAACUAUUAAAUAUAUGAAACAUUUAGUGGACAGUAUGCUGGCUGACCCGUGUCUCUCCCGCUCAAAGUAGCAUGUUCCUCUUUACUCUAAUGCAAUUUUUCACUCUACUAAGUGAAAUCAAAUGUCAAAGUUCCCUAAACUUUGCUGGCUGAAAUGUGAUUUUUUCUCCUAACUUUGUUGCAACAUUGUCUCACUUUCUGUGUGAAAUGUUCCACUGUAAUCAAAGGCUGAUGAAAUAUCAAGGCUCGAUUAAUUAUUAUAGUGCCUAGCAGCAGUGCUGGAGUUGGUGGGUGGAGAACUCAUUCCUUUCAAUUUUGCAUUGAGAUCUAUCCUGUAACAUGAGUUCUCAGGUCAAGAUCUCAACAUAUACUUUGUGGAGAGUUUCAUUCAAUCUUCACACAUUAGGAGAUGUGCUCUUCAAUAUCGAUACAGUCCUAAAGUAAAUGUUUAUUUGUUUUACUUUGAAUACCAUCCCCUUUUUUCCCUUACCUGUGCACCUUGAAUCAAUUUGAAAUUUUAGAGUUAAUGUUGUGUUUGCUGAACUGAUUGUCAGAUGGUUUAUGUGCGCAUGAUGAAUCCCUAAUAAAUUGUCAACUAACCAUGCAACCAUGUGAGUGAAGGGGAUGAUGGUUACAACACGAGCUAGUGUAUUUUAGAAUGAAAAAUAGAAAAAUCUUGUCAGUAUGUCCUUCUUGUUCUUGAAGCAAGAGAGAAUCAGAGCUUUCCUUUUGGCUGGAGAUUCGGCAGAUGUUCAUUUUAGUGUACUUAAUUAGAUGCAUUGUCAGUGACAUGAACUUUUGUUAAGGGAAACUAAAAAUACUUGAAUUAUAAACAGAAAUUGAGUGUAAUAAUUGUACAUAUUAUUUACUGGAAAGAGUUGAAUUUAUUAUUAUGGACAUAAUUGUCAUCAGGGUUAUCACUCUUAUUACAGCUUUGCUGAGAUGGUAAUUCCAAAGCCCAGAGGAGACAACUGUGCUAUACAGAAGGUGAACAUAAAAUGAAAAUCAGGUCCCUGAUCCAAACAGUUUGCAAGCUAGGGAAUAAAAAAAAAACCUAUAGUUUCUGAAAGAAGAAUUCAUUUGUGAUUAAAUAUCUUUUAUUUUCUAUCAGAUGAUUUAUAGAUGCUUUUAAAACUCUGGAACUGCUCAAAACUUCAUUGAAAUCAAUGCAAAAGCACAGCUAGGACUGAUUUAUUCCUUGUCAUGUGAAAUCCUACAGUUUAUCCAUACCAGAACCAUUUUCUGUAGAACUAAAACGAAACCACUGCUGGUGUGAAAUACAGCAAGUUUUACACACACGGUUUCUUCCAAAAGAAAAAGAAAGAAAGAAAGAAAGAAAGAAAGAAAGAAAGAAAGAAAGAAAGAAAGAAAGAAAGAAAGAAAGAAAGAAAGAAAGAAAGAAAGAAAGAAAGAAAGAAAGAAAGAAAGAAAAAGGAAAAAGAAAAGUAAACGAAAAAGGCUUGACUAUUUAAUGGCAGAAAACAAACAAGUCUAUCUCACCAAGAUUCCUGGCAGAGUGCGAGCAGAUCUGGCCUAGUGCAAUUCUUGUCUUCUUUUGAGUUUGCUGAGGAUACUGGCAUAAUAUCUCUGUUUUUUUCCAUCUGAUCUCAAGUGACCGCAACUGUUCAGGGCUUUGGUUUUCUCUGAUCUAAAUGAUUGCAGCUCAAGCACCAGAGUGUCCCCAAGCACCAUGCUGGGAGGCUGGCUCCGCACUGACUCAGAGGGAGCAUUCCCAUCUAGCUGACUCACCAGCACUCAAGUGCACUGCCAGCGAUCCAGAUACUAAACUGAUCCUAUCCUCCAUCAUCAUGGGGAGGGGGAGGGAGAACAGAUAAAUUCUUAAAAAUGAAAUACUGAUGGUACUUAGUGCAUCAAUUGGGCCAUUUUGCCAUAUGCAGGAGACCAAACAAAACAAUUUAAAUGUCCAAGUUAUUCAAGUUUGUAAAGCACAUGCUGUGAGAGUUUCUGCUUUUUUUUUUGUUGUUUUGUUUUUUUCCCAUAGGGUUAUUUAUUACAUAUUGCAUCCAGACAAAUUCGUUGUCCUUUCAAUGGGACUGCACAAGUAGGGUUUUCAAACUUAAUUUUUUCCCCUCUAUCUAGACUCUGUGAAAUGUAUGUGAGGAGAGAGUUUGUAUAGUCAUUAUCUUUUAUUAGAUUAACUGAUACAGUUGGUAAAAAACAAGCUUUAAGGCAAAUAAGCUCUUCAUCAGGUUUCAAAUCAUGUAAAGGCAGCAAUGGAAAAGAGCAUACAAUAUGAUUUACUAUUAUUUUUGGGUUUGUUUUCAUGUUAGGUUUGUAAAGUUUCUUUCAAUGUAACAAAUACUGCAUUUGUAGCAGUUUUUUUGUUUGUUUGUUUGUGUCAGAUGCUUUUAUGGUCUACAGAACAAA